CUGUGAGUUAGGCCUUCUCAACCUACUAAAUAUCAACCUGCUGGCACAGUUACUGUUCUCUCAAAGGUAAUCAGAAACAUAAAGCUUUACAAAUAUGAACUGAUAUGAUACAAGCCGGUAUGUUUUGAGAACCCCCACCAAGAAAGCGAAAGAAUAUAUAAAAGUAAGCAUUAGCAUAUGUCUGAAGAACAUUUAACCAAUAAACUGAUUUCAAUUUAGCGGCUUUUAAUAAGAAUUUUAAAACCAUCAACUGUGAUUGUAGUUAUUGAGCAUGACCGUUAAGACAAUUUGACAAAAGACGCAAAUUAGCCUUCUAGAUCUUGUGCCUUGAAACCGUUAGCAGUUUGGGAUUAUCCUGAGCUUGUGACUUCACAUUCUCUCGAUUUGCGGCCCGAGCCUGAUGAAAGCCAUUCUCAAAAAUGUAAAAUUGGACCAGUCAGCAGUAGGGGGAGGAGUUAGCAUUGAUUGAAUAACGAUGUUUAAGGAUAAACAGUAAUUUGCACAAUACUUAUUUCAAUGUUUCUGCCUUAUGUACUAUUCUAUUUGGCAUGAGCAAAGAGACCAAUAGCGUUACCUAGUCAUUUAAUCAGAUUGGCUCAAAUUCUUAAUGUCAGGCCAAGCCCAUAUGUGAAAAUCCAUUGCUUAAACCUCUGGAUGGUUUCACUGUCACAAGGCCAUCAAACUGUACCAGGCAAACAUUUACAAACAAGUUCAAUAUGGGCAUCCAAAGUAGUACAAUGAUAUAUUACAGUAUUAAAAAAAGAAAUGACAAUAUAAUCAGGAAAUUUAAAAUCUUCCAGAUUUGUAUUGACUUUUGAAAUUAUUGCCCUCAAUAAUUAAGAUAAUUUAGAACCAUACUUAUAGUCCUCCAUUAACUCGAUAUUGUCUCAGAGCUUUCAAACAACAGCAGCAAAAUCAACAAUCUCUUCAAAACGACAUCAGGGAUUGUUUCAAGAUGCCGACACAUUCCCCGCACAUUAAAGCAGUGGGUACAAUCACUUGGAACGUAACAAAAAAUGAAUGAUAUAUAAAAAUAGUCUUCCCCAUUUUUCUUAUGAAGACAAACGGGUAUAUAGUCAAUAAUAAAAAAUAAAAAAAAACAUUUAAGUCCAUCUCGUUGUGACGUCACACAAUCGCCCCCUCCUUGGGCGCUCGCUCGCUGCUCCCCCACUCGUCCUGGUCGCUGCCCGAGGACGAGGACGACGACGACGGCGGCGGUGGGACGUCCUGGCCCAUCCUCUUCAGCUUGGCCCCGUAGUACCUCCUCUUCAUGCGGUAGGCCCGGGCCUUCUCCCGGGCCGCCCUGCCCUUCUCCCUCAGCACCUCCUGCUCCCACACCAGCACCCGCAUGCGCCGCUCCCACUCCAGGCUCUCCAUCUGCUCCCUGCGCCCCUCCUGCUGCUGCUGCUGCUGCUCCCCCAGCAUCUCCACCCGCUCCUCCUCCAGGGCCUCCACCCUCUCCCGCUGCUCCCGCUCCUGUCUGGCGAGGGGCGCCGCCGCCGCCGCCGCCGUCACGGAGCGAGGCAAACGUAGCAAAAAGACAGACAGACAGAGGAAGAGAAGAUGGGAAUCAGAGGGUGGAUGAGAGGAACAAUUAUUCAAACAGUAAGCCGGUGUUUCCCUCUGGGAAUAAAGAGUACCGCAGCCAUGGUGAUCACUUAACCAGCAUCUACUCAGAACGCCGACACAAUAUGGGCCCUUUGCGUGUGAUGUCACUUUUGCAUUCACCGUCAUUUGGGGUGUCAAGCGAGGGCUAACCAGGGGGGGUACUAUGUCAAGGCUCUCAGGGUUUGGCUGGUAUGUUUGGCUCACGUUGUGGGGGGUUGUCGUCACGUCCAAGGAGUGUGGCGACAGUGGCAGCAGCAUCAUCCUGCGCCUUAUCAUUGCUCAACCGUCUUUUGGUUUUAAGAGCUGCAGGUAUUUUUGGUUGACGCGGAAAUUAAAGUUUUCCCACCACUGUUGGAGAGUAGUCCGGGGACAGUGGAUUCCUACUUUGUUUACCCUAGAGGAAGAGGAAAGCAAAUGUUACAACUGUUUAAAUCGACCGUCACAUCGAUGCAACUUUUGUUAUCAACACUAUUAACUUGAUUUGUGCUGCUAUUGCAUGAAAACAC
ensembl:lncRNA